UCCAGUCCUUUCAGGCGCUCAAUCCCGGCCAGCUCUGGCAUCACUGAAGACCUGACAUCGCAGGGAACCGGACGUCCGCGCUGCUCUCCGCUCCCUGCAAUUGAACGUCCAGGUUUUUAAUAUUAGAAAAACUUUUAUCUCCCUGCAACGAGGCUGAUGAAGCGCUCCUGACGGCGCACAACGAACGCGGCUUUCACCGCUGGAGGAGACUUUUUGCUGUCGAGACGAGGGGAAUGCAGACGUCGAGACAACAACACCCACAAGUUAUUUAAAUAAAUUAUCAUGAAACGAACUGACAGGAGGAAGAGACUGAAUAUAAUUCACAGUGUUGGUUUUCACCAAAGAGGAGAGAAAGGGAAGCAGACCCCAACUAAAGUGGCGAGCUGUGAAAAGCAGACUAUCAGGUCCAGACAUGAAGAAGGCACGAAAGCAUCCACACAAGCGAAGUGCAAUGGCACCUAGAGGCUGUCUGCGGUCUACCACUAUCAAGCUGCACACACACACAUACACACACACACACACACACACACACACAC